UGUUUUGUCACCCGAAUUAUGAAGAGAGCUGCAUUACAAAUAGGUAGGAACAUAUCUCAUCUAUAUGGGACGGCUGGCUGCAGUGCUAUCCAAAGACCAGUCAGGAUUGUGGCCUGGUUAUGCCUGAUUUUAUGCAGAGAAAGAUAUUCUAGACUGCUUACCUUGUAAAACUACAACUUUGCAAUGAUUCUGAUAAAGAAGCUGACAAGAACUCGACAAUUUCCAAACUCACUGAGGAAAAGCACUAAAUUGAUUUGUGAUGACUUGGAUGCUUCUGAAUGCAAGUACUCUGUGUGAACACACCUGUUUCCAGGUAAGUCUGGGUGUUCAUGUAGUCUUUGUUGAGCAAUGCUCACAAACAUAGCAAAUUCUGCUCUGCUAUGGAGAAUUCUUCUGUGAAGUCAAACUAAUUACAUACU